rnacentral:rRNA from 1 species
GAUGAACGCUGGCGGCGUGCCUAAUACAUGCAAGUCGAGCGAACGGACGAGAAGCUUGCUUCUCUGAUGUUAGCGGCGGACGGGUGAGUAACACGUGGAUAACCUACCUAUAAGACUGGGAUACUUCGGGAAACCGGAGCUAAUACCGGAUAAUAUUUUGAACCGCAUGGUUCAAAAGUGAAAGACGGUCUUGCUGUCACUUAUAGAUGGAUCCGCGCUGCAUUAGCUAGUUGGUAAGGUAACGGCUUACCUAGGCAACGAUGCAUAGCCGACCUGAGAGGGUGAUCGGCCACACUGGAACUGAGACACGGUCCAGACUCCUACGGGAGGCAGCAGUAGGGAAUCUUCCGCAAUGGGCGAAAGCCUGACGGAGCAACGCCGCGUGAGUGAUGAAGGUCUUCGGAUCGUAAAACUCUGUUAUUAGGGAAGAACAUAUGUGUAAGUAACUGUGCACAUCUUGACGGUACCUAAUCAGAAAGCCACGGCUAACUACGUG